GGUAGAGUUAGCUUGCUAACUUGAGACCGGCGCACGGGUGCGUAACGCGUAUGCAAUCUACCUUAUACAGGGGAAUAGCCCAGAGAAAUUUGGAUUAAUGCCCCAUAGUAUUAUUGAAUGGCAUCAUUUGAUAAUUAAAGUUCCAACGGUAUAAGAUGAGCAUGCGUCCCAUUAGUUAGUUGGUAAGGUAACGGCUUACCAAGACUAUGAUGGGUAGGGGUCCUGAGAGGGAGAUCCCCCACACUGGUACUGAGACACGGACCAGACUCC
rnacentral:rRNA from 1 species